UACAGAGGUCCCAAGCGUUGUCCGGAUUUAUUGGGCGUAAAGAGCUCGUAGGCGGCUUGUCGCGUCGUCCGUGAAAACCUGCAGCUCAACUGCAGGCUUGCGGUCGAUACGGGCAGGCUAGAGUUCGGUAGGGGAGACUGGAAUUCCUGGUGUAGCGGUGAGAUGCGCAGAUAUCAGGAGGAACACCGGUGGCGAAGGCGGGUCUCUGGGCCGAUACUGACGCUGAGGAGCGAAAGCGUGGGGAGCGAACAGG
rnacentral:rRNA from 1 species